rnacentral:rRNA from 1 species
AUUGAACGCUGGCGGCAUGCCUUACACAUGCAAGUCGAACGGUAACAGGUCUUCGGAUGCUGACGAGUGGCGAACGGGUGAGUAAUACAUCGGAACGUGCCCGAUCGUGGGGGAUAACGAGGCGAAAGCUUUGCUAAUACCGCAUACGAUCUACGGAUGAAAGCGGGGGAUCUUCGGACCUCGCGCGGACGGAGCGGCCGAUGGCAGAUUAGGUAGUUGGUGGGAUAAAAGCUUACCAAGCCGACGAUCUGUAGCUGGUCUGAGAGGAUGAUCAGCCACACUGGGACUGAGACACGGCCCAGACUCCUACGGGAGGCAGCAGUGGGGAAUUUUGGACAAUGGGCGAAAGCCUGAUACAGCCAUGCCGCGUGCAGGAUGAAGGCCUUCGGGUUGUAAACUGCUUUUGUACGGAACGAAAAGCCUCUUUCUAAUACAGAGGGGUCAUGACGGUACCGUAAGAAUAAGCACCGGCUAACUACGUG